rnacentral:rRNA from 1 species
AUCGAACGCUGGCGGCAUGCCUAACACAUGCAAGUCGAGCGGAGCUGCGGACGGGUGUGGAACGCAGAGGAAUAUGCCUGGUAGUAGGGGAUCACGUCCGGAAACGGUAGCUAAUACAGCAUAAUAGCAUGUGUGCGUAGGUCGGAGUAGCUGGUUGGUGGGGUAAAGGCCUACCAAGGGGGCGAGCCGUAACCAGUCUGAGAGGAGGAUCAGUCAAACUGGAAUGGAGACACGGUCCAGACUGCGACGGGAGGCAGCAGUGUGGAAGAUUUGACAAUGGGCGAAAGCCUGAUCCAGCCAUGCCGCGUGUGUGAAGAAGGUUUUCGGAUUUUGAAGCACUUUAAUUUGGGAGGCGGUACCAACACAAUAAGCACCGGCUAACUACGUGCCAGCAGCCGCGGUAAUAC